UGGGGAAUAUUGGACAAUGGGCGCAAGCCUGAUCCAGCCAUGCCGCGUGAGUGAAGAAGGCCUUCGGGUUGUAAAGCUCUUUUGUUGGGGAAGAAAAGCUUCUGGCUAAUACCCGGGAGUCCUGACGGUACCCAAAGAAUAAGCACCGGCUAACUUCGUGCCAGCAGCCGCGGUAAUACGAAGGGUGCAAGCGUUACUCGGAAUUACUGGGCGUAAAGCGUGCGUAGGUGGUUCGUUAAGUCUGAUGUGAAAGCCCUGGGCUCAACCUGGGAACUGCAUUGGAUACUGGCGAUCUGGAGUGCGGUAGAGGGUGGCGGAAUUCCCGGUGUAGCAGUGAAAUGCGUAGAUAUCGGGAGGAACAUCCGUGGCGAAGGCGGCCACCUGGACCAGCACUGACACUGAGGCACGAAAGCGUGGGGAGCAAACAGGAUUAGAUACCCUGGUAGUCCACGCCCUAAACGAUGCGAACUGGAUGUUGGGUGCAACUUGGCACUCAGUAUCGAAGCUAACGCGUUAAGUUCGCCGCCUGGGAAGUACGGUCGCAAGACUGAAACUUAAAUGAAUUGACGGGGUCAUAGCUGUUUCC
rnacentral:rRNA from 1 species